GAAUUAAUCGAAAAAAUAAAGAGGGAAUAUAAGCAUAAAUAUAGAAUCACUUUCGUCGAACAAUCUCCUCUUUCUUCUCUUCUUUCCUUUUCUUCUGAUUUCAUUUUUCACCAUCUCCAUGGAAGAAGACACUUCCACAGCAUCUCUCCCCAACUUUUGAACGAAUGGAUUGAGCAAAAUCCAAGAUUCACUCAAGAAACGGCUGAUAAAAGACAACGAAUUCGACUGAAAGUUAUCCCGAAUGAAGGAUCAAGAUUAUGAGGGGAUGGAAGAAAUGUGAACCGAAUGGAUUGCAAUCCAAAAUUCACUCAAGAAAGGGCAGAUAACAGACUAUGAAUCACUGGAAGUUACCCGGAAUGAAGGACCAAGAUUCUGAAGGGGUGGAAGAAAAUCAAGAUUCUAAGGGUGAAGUCCUCAAGCACGUGGGUGGGUUGACUGGAGUUUCUCAAAAAAUGACUCGUUAAUUCAUCAUCUUGUGUUCCUGGCUUCUUGGCAUUCAGAGAGCUCUUAUGCACCAGUGCUUCUAGAACUUCUAGAGAAAAUGAAGAAUAUAUCACCUACACUGUAUGGCCAGGUUGACAUUAGAGCAAAGGAUUGCCUCGGAAGCAUCAUUUAAGCUAAUAUCAGUCGUCGACUGAUGUAGUCGAAGUGGCGUAUCAUACGACACUAUUGAAGUUGAUAUCAACAAAAGAGUUCGCCCGACGAACCUAUCUUGGACUUGUUUCAUAGCGACGAACAUGUCUCAGAUUGUCUUCUGAAUAUGCCUAAUGGGUUUUAGAAGAUUUUUUUUUUUAAAAUGUAAAUUAGUACUCAUUGUUUGUAGAAAAUUUCAACAUUCUUUGUAUGAUAUAAAAGAUUGUACUUCUAUUUUACCUAAAGCAAUAAAGACUAUUAUUCGUU